UUCCCGCCCUCUCUCCCUCGGACCCGCGUCCACCGGUUCGUUUUGUACGCGUAUGCGUAUUGGAUUUUUCGUUGGAAAACUCCGCGUGCCGGAAUUUCCGAUGAAACGUUUGCAUUCGUUGCAAGUGGAUAAAUAGUAUUUUUUUCGGGGCUCUUCAUUAAACAUCGCGACAAGUAACCUAUCCGCGAGUGAGUUGCAUCGAGUGUUUGCAAUCCUCGGUCGUUGCGACUCGUUGCCAUAAAUAUUGGUCAAGCUUAACUGGGAUUUAACUGAUUGAUCUGUCUCUCUCUCUUUUAAAAACACGUCCAGGAGGCAGCAAGUUAAUUAAAAUAAACCUAAAUAACGAACAGAGUUUACAAUUUACGAAGAAUAUAAAAAUGAUAUCUGUUUUGUUCUCAUAUAAUCAUAUUUCUAUAAAGUUAGCCACCCUCUCCCCCCCCCCACCGGCGCCAAAAAAAUCCACACCUGUAAAAAUGUAGUGUUCUUUCGUUGCUAAUUUGUUGUCUUAUUCCGAAUUUCAUUGCUCAAGCCGUUUGGCAAGUGUUUAAAAGGGAGGGGGGCAUCAAGCUACAUAAUAAAAAAAUUUAUUUAAAGUGCUCAAAUCGAAAAAAUGAAUAUAUCAGAAUUUUUUGCUCUUUUGUUGCUCUUACACGUUUUUUUGUACUUCUGUAAAACGCAUAUCUGUUUCAUGAUUAAUCUUGGAAAAUCGUGAGUAACAUCUUAUUACUUUAUCAACUUCAGAUUCUUUAGUCAGAGACGAUCGCGCGUAAAGACUAUUGCACGUACAUUUCCAUAAUCGUAAUCGUAAGAAAUUGAGCAAUACGAUUGGUUAAUUCAGUCGGUUACGACUAAUUUGAGCAAUAUGAUUGGUUGAAAUCUUACGAUUACGAUUAAGGAAAUGUACGUUCAAUGGCCUUUAGGAACGCGGAAUGCACUUCAAGGUGUAGUUAGUGGCCGGCCGCGCUCGCGUCGGGUCGUGAUCCGUUUCCGUCUCCGUUCGAUACGUAGUCGUCCUUCCGCAUCACGCGCUUCUCGGCGAUGUGCGAGUUCGCGACCAUCGGGACAUAUAAGUGACGUGGAUUCGUCCCCCAUCGGGCACGCUAUUCGUAUUGGCGAUACGCGAAUUCGGGAUCGACGGGAGUGUCGUCGCGGGACGCCCGGUGUCCGGCGUACGAAAAGUGCCGCAUCAUCGUCUCUCUAGUGUCGCGAGGCGAGAUCUCGUCGCGUUCCUCGCGUCCUCUCGUCGGUCGCGAGCGAAUUUCCCCGCGAAAGGCAUCGCCGGGGAUGUAGAGUCGAGUCGACAACAUAAAUCUACGGGCAAAGUGGUCGUGCCCCUCCCCCCCCCCCCGGUCUCUGAAAUUCGCGCCAAAGUCGUAAGAUUUUCGUCGCGUCGUGUGCAAGGCGACGGCCAUCUUGUGACGUAAUUAGUGCACAAUGGUCGCCCGCGUUCGCGUCGUGUCGCGGUUCGUCUCCGUUCGACACGCAGUUAUCCGCGGCAUCACGCGCUUCUUGGCGAUGUGCGAGUUCGCGAUCACCGGGGAUCGCUCGCACACGCCAUCGGGGCAUACAAGUGUCGCGAUUCGACGACGGGAGUGUCGUCGCGGGACGCCCGGUAUUCGGCGUACGAAAAGUGCCGCGUCAUCGUCUUUCUAGUGUCGCGAGGCGAGAUCUCGUCGCGUCCCUCGCGUCCUCUCGUCGGUCGCGAGUGAAUUUCCCCGCGAAAGGCAUCGCCGGGGAUGCCGAGUCGAGUCGACGACACAAAUCGACGGGCAAAGUGGUCGCGUCCCUCUCCCCUUCCGUCUGGGAAACUCGCGCCAAAAUCGCGUAAGAUUUUCGUCGCGUCGUGUGCGGGAUGACGCAGUUAGUGCACAACGGCCGUACGUUAGUUGACGAUCGCCUGCGUUCGCGACUUGCCGCGGUCCGUCCCCGUCUCCGUUCGAUACGCAUUUCUUGGCGAUGUGCGAGUUCGCGAUCACUGUGGAUCACUCGCACACGCCAUCGGGACAUUCGUCGACGGGAGUGUCGUCGCGGACGCCCGGUGUCCGGCGUACGAAAAGUACCGCGUCAUCGUCUUUCUAGUGUCGCGAGGCGAGAUCUCGUCGCGUUCCUCGCGUCCUCUCGUCGGUCGCGAGUGAAUUUCCCCGCGGAAGGCAUCGCCGGGGAUGCCGAAUCGUGCCGACGCUAUUAAUCGACGUGUAAAGUGGUCGCGUCCUUCGCGUCGUUAGCAUUUUUGAUCGCGUCGAACGUUGCGUGUGAGAGUACGUGUGUGUGUGCGGACGCAAGGACGAGGAAAACAUCAUCGAUUCAUCGAGUGAGUUAUAUAGUCAGGAUUGGAUUCGAGUAUUUCUGCAAACGGUGUCUGCGAUAUCGAGUUAUAUCGUCGGGAUUGGAUUCGAAUAUCUCUGCAAACGGUGUCUGCGGCAUCGAGUUAUAUCGUCGGGAUCGGAUUCGAAUAUCUCUGCAAACGGUGUCUGCGGUAUCGGUGAGUUUUACAUAUUUGAAUCAAUGUAAUCGAAUUUGUCCGGAAAAAUUAAGUGUGUCUGGAGUUUUAAAUAUUUUAAUUAUUCAUUUCCUUUUCUUUAAAUUUCUUGGAGUGGGAUUUCACUUUUUUAGCGUGAAAAUCCACUAAGUAAUAAUGAAAAUCCUUCCAGACUUAUUUUCAGCCAUCGAAUGGCUGUUUACACUUUGUCUUCUUUUACUAAAUAUAAUUUGGCAAAUUAGUUUACCAAUAUUUUAUUCAAAAUGUCUCAAUAAUU